CCUACGGGUGGCACCAGUGGGGAAUAUUGCACAAUGGGGGAAACCCUGAUGCAGCCAUGCCGCGUGUAUGAAGAAGGCCUUAGGGUUGUAAAGUACUUUCGGUGAUGAGGAAGGUGCUCGGUCUAAUAGGCCAAGUAAUUGACGUUAAUUACAGAAGAAGCACCGGCUAACUCCGUGCCAGCAGCCGCGGUAAUACGGAGGGUGCGAGCGUUAAUCGGAAUGACUGGGCGUAAAGGGCAUGUAGGCGGAUGAUUAAGUUAGGUGUGAAAUCCCCGAGCUCAACUUGGGAAUUGCAUUUAAAACUGGUCGUCUAGAGUAUUGUAGAGGAAGGUAGAAUUCCACGUGUAGCGGUGAAAUGCGUAGAGAUGUGGAGGAAUACCGGUGGCGAAGGCGGCCUUCUGGACAGAUACUGACGCUGAGAUGCGAAAGCGUGGGGAGCAAACAGGAUUAGAUACCCGUGUAGUC
rnacentral:rRNA from 1 species